ACUAUGGAGAGUUUGAUCCUGGCUCAGGAUGAACGCUAGCGGCAGGCCUAAUACAUGCAAGUCGAACGGGAUCCAUUUUUAGCUUGCUAGGAAUGGUGAGAGUGGCGCACGGGUG
rnacentral:rRNA from 1 species